rnacentral:rRNA from 1 species
AACGAACGCUGGCGGCAUGCCUAACACAUGCAAGUCGAACGAGACCUUCGGGUCUAGUGGCGCACGGCUGCGUACCGCGUGGGAACCUGCCCUUAGGUUCGGAAUCACUCCCCGCAAGGGGCCCUAAUACCGGAUAAUGUCUUCCGACCAAAGAUUUCUCGCCUUUGGAUGGGCCCGCGUUGGAUUAGCUAGUUGGUAGGGUAAAAGCCUACCAAGGCGACGAUCCAUAGCUGGUCUGAGAGGAUGAUCAGCCACACUGGGACUGAGACACGGCCCAGACUCCUACGGGAGGCAGCAGUGGGGAAUAUUGGACAAUGGGCGAAAGCCUGAUCCAGCAAUGCCGCGUGAGUGAGGAAGGCCUUAGGGUUGUAAAGCUCUUUUACCCGGGAUGAUAAUGACAGUACCGGGAGAAUAAGCUCCGGCUAACUCCGUG